rnacentral:lncRNA from 1 species
GGAAUUCAUAGCCUAAUAGAGGGUAAAUGAUAUACUUUCAUUAGCAUUACAUGAAAGAUGAAAAAGUAACAUGACCACUAGACAAAUGAUUUAAUUACUAUUUGUUAGUAAUUGAAUUUUUCAUGGUGGAAGAUGUAAUGGUUAUCGUGAGAUAAAAUAAGAUUAUAUUGGUGAAUUGAUUUAACCCAAAUAGAUUAAGGCUAUUCUAUGUGGGUA